rnacentral:misc_RNA from 1 species
CGCACCUUGCGCUCCUUGGUAUUCCGAGGAGCAUGCCUGUUCGAGUGUCAUGAAACUCUCAACUGCUUUGAUUAGCAGCUUGGAUAUGGGGCACGUUGGCAAUGCUUGUCGACCGCUCUGAAAUGUAUUAGCCACGAAUGUUGACCUUCUAAGCGUAAUAAUUACAAUGCGCUCAUUAGAACGACGUUAAGUCGCGGCUCACAAAACCCCCCUAUUACAUUUCUAUUUGACCUCGAAUCAGGUAGGACUACCCGCUGAACUUAA